GUUACGCAGCGGUGAGAUAAGUGAAAAAUUCUGCUAUGUUGCCAUAGAUAAUAUAAUAUUUAUUAUCUAUGAUCUUCGCGAGUGAUAGUGUUCGGAUGUUCGGGGGAUUGUUAUUGUUAUAAUUCAUUCAAAAUCAUGUAUUCAUAAUCACCGAGUUCGUGUAGUUUCCAAGUACUAUAUUCCUGUGAGUUGCUUCUGUAAGUUGGCGUAGGUACUUUGAACGGAGUAUUUUAGUUAUUAUUCAUUCAAAAUCAUGUAUUCAUCAUCAUUGACUUCGUGCAGAAUCCAAUUACUAUAAUCCUGAGAAUUGCUUCUACGAGUAUCGUUCAUAGCCAUUUUAUUGUACUUGUCAUAAUAUUGUUUUCUCAUUUCAGGACGUAGGUACAUCGACAUACUUAAAUAAAAGGUGAAUUACUGUGCCGCAGACAGACGCCAGAUACCCAGAUAAUUUCAAAACGACAUGGCUUACCAGAGUGGAAAAGGAAUCCGUAAGUGAAGAAUUUCAAUUGCCAUCCAAACGGAAACAGACAUUCUUUGAUUUGACAGCCAGUAGUAGUGAUGAAGCACGUACGUGGAACGGCAAAUGUUUGGCCGAUUGUUAUGGUUCUUAUUCAUUCAAAAUCGCGUAGUCAUCGUCAUCGAUUUUAUAUAGUUAUGUCCUAUACUCCUGUGAAUUGCCUCUGGCGUACAUCGAUAUACGUAUAGAAGUACAUGAAUUGUUUUCCAUGGUAAAUUACAUGUUGUCAGUGAAUUAUUCUACUAAGCUAGCGGCCCGUUAGUUACACGAUCUCGGGAUUGCUACAUAUUUUUAUAUUAUUUUAUUAUAUUUUUACUGUGCAAAUUUGUGCAUCUCGAGACGGUAGCAUUCUGGUUUGAAGCCGCUGACGGACGCCAUCUCCUCAGGACUUUACACCGUCUCGUGCUGGGGGCACCAGUUUUCCCGUGCUUAAACCUGGUAGUCCAUGGGACUAUUCUACGCGACGCUGCUGCAUGUGUCACAGGGACAUCCAUUUUCACGGGCCUAAGCCAAAAAGGCCGUGUGACCAUUCACCGUGGCGUACAUUCACGUCAUUGGUUCCACGGACAACCGUAGUUUUUUCGGGCGUAAAUAAGACAUUCAAGACUUCCUGAUUCCGCGGCCAUUUCGCACGCCCUACCAUCGUCCCAUUCAACGUCGAUCUCGUUAGCGAGUUUCAGGCAAUUGCCCGUGCGACGCUGCCUUCCCGCAUAUGUUCUUAAACCUAUUUUGUAACCUGCUGUUCAAUCUACUGAACAUUUUUUUCUGCCUAUCGUUAGUUUCUGUUAAAAAUAUAAAAGGCAUUAGCAAAGGUGGCCUUUAACUAGUUGAAAAGUUAAAGUUAAGUUAAAAAGUUAAUUUUUUUUUAACUUUUUAACUUAGCUUGUUAGUUCAUUUUCUAAUCAACUUAUGAA